GAUGAACGCUGGCGGCGUGCCUAAUACAUGCGAGUCGAGCGAACGGACGAGAAGCUUGCUUCUCUGAUGUUAGCGGCGGACGGGUGAGUAACACGUGGAUAACCUACCUAUAAGACUGGGAUAACUUCGGGAAACCGGAGCUAAUACCGGAUAUUAUUUUGAACCGCAUGGUUCAAAAGUGAAAGACGGCCUUGCUGUCACUUAUAGAUGGAUCUGCGCGGCAUUAGCUAGUUGGUAAGGUAACGGCUUACCAAGGCAACGAUGCAUAGCCGACCUAAAAGGGUGAUCGGCAAAAGUGGAACUGAGACACGGUCCAGACUCCUACGGGAGGCAGGAGGAGGGAAUGUUCCGCAAUGGGCGAAAGCCUGACGGAGCAACGCCGCGGGAGGGAGGAAGGUCUUCGGAUCGAAAAACUCUAUUAUUAGGAAAGAACAUAUGUGUAAGUAACUGUGCACAUCUAGACGGGACCUAAUCAGAAAGCCACGGCUAACUACGU
rnacentral:rRNA from 1 species